CCAGGAUUCCAUCCCAGGAAAUCCCCUCCAGCUGCCUCUGCUCAUGAGAGACUCGCCCAGUCUCCUUGUCUCUUCCAGCUCUAACUUUCCUCUUAUUCAUCUCAAUUAGGUGGAGCUAAAUGUUCAAGUUUUCAGGAACCAGUAGUGAGGACUUGUUCCCAAGGAUGCAAGGGUGAGCUGGGUCUGAGAAACCAACCAGAAGGGUUGCCCAGAAGCACUGGGUAUGGAUCAGAGACUUGGUCACCCCAGCAGCUCUGACUUGGCCUCCAGUGUUUGACCCCGCCCCUUUGAAGCACCAUCCAGCACACUCUGCUGGGGUUUUAUGAUGACAUUAAACAAACCUCAACUGCCUUGGCCACCCUCCAGUGUCCACCCUACUCCCUAUCUUGUUAGCUGUCCAAGAGUUGACAGUCCAGAUGUGCAGAUGUGAUGAGCAGGACAGGGAGAAACAGCCUCAAGGUGAGCUGCCUGGCCUUGGGAAGAAAGAGUGGAGAGGUGCCAGAACCACAUUCCGGAGACUCCGGAAUCACCUGCCGGGCAUGCCGGAACCACCUCUCAGACGUGCCAGAACCAUGUGCCGGACACGCCGGAACCACCUGCCGAGUAUGCCGGAACCACCUUCUCCACUCCCCAGAACCACCUGCUGGACACGCCGGGACCACCUGCUUGACUCGCCAGAACCACCUGCCGGACACGCCAGAAUCGCCAGCCGGCUACGCCACAACCACUUGUCGGACACUCCAGAAUCACCUGCCGGGCAUGAAGCACAACCUCUCAGAACUUGGGUCCUAAGAUUUACCUCCUGUGCCCUCUUCUAUCCCAUAAAACCAAAUUAGAAGCUCAAGUUCACUAAGUUUCUUAGAAACUCUUGGCGAAGUUCCAGCUGUUUCACUUAACUCACAGGAUUCCUGUUUUCAAUUCAGUUUGGAGAUUACACAUAACUUUUUUUUUUUUGCCAGCUCAAUGAGGAACUUAAAAAAAAAAUUUUAAAAUAUUCCAUACAACAUUAUCAUUGUUUCGAUCAGGAGUGGCAUUCAGCAUACCUAAUAUAAUCUGGCAAGUUAUACAGCCCCACUUCUUUAAUCUUUAGCAAAUAGCCCAGCGCUGCUCAAGAGAACUUUCCCUGAAGGUGGAAAUGUUCCAUACCUCCACUGGCCAGUAUGGACUCCACUAGCGACAUGUGGCUGUUGAGCAUGUGAAAUAUGACUCCUUAGAUUAAAGAAGUGAAUUUUUAUUUUCAUUUAAUUCUAAUCAUUUUAAAUCUAAAUAACCAGUUGUGGUUAAUGGCUACCGUAUCUGAUAGCUGAGAGACAGACCUUUAUUCACCCAAACAUAAGUGCU
rnacentral:lncRNA from 1 species